UACGUAGGGGGCAAGCGUUAUCCGGAUUUACUGGGUGUAAAGGGAGCGCAGACGGCAUAGCAAGUCUGAUGUGAAAUGCGGGGGCUUAACCCCCGAGCUGCAUUGGAAACUGUUAAGCUGGAGUGCCGGAGGGGUAAGCGGAAUUCCUAGUGUAGCGGUGAAAUGCGUAGAUAUUAGGAGGAACACCAGUGGCGAAGGCGGCUUACUGGACGGUAACUGACGUUGAGGCUCGAAAGCGUGGGGAGCAAAC
rnacentral:rRNA from 1 species